GCUGUAGACCGGAGCUGUUCCUAUUCGGCCAUCUUGGCUCUCCCUUAGUCUAGAUUGCAGCUAAUCUUCCCCUUACAUGACACCUACAAGUUAAACAAACUGCAACUAGGAAGAUCGUGAUCAUUUGACUAGGACCUGGAUUGUUUGAGAGAGGCAGUCUAAAAUUCUUGGAAUGAAAUUCUCAGAUUAGAACGCAUCAGACCUCUCUUAGUUCUCAUGGAGUAUGUAGAGGCCAUGAUGAACUGAAGAUUUCUCUCUGGUGUGGAUAUGUUUUCUCUUUUACCUCUGAACUUCUACAUCAAGACUUCGUGUGAAUGAGCUCUGCUUUUGAGGAUUCAUGACUCUUUUCCUCCAUGAUUUGAAAAUGUAUAUUCAAAAGAUUAAAAGAUGGAGCUGGCCGAGUGAGGUGGCUCAUGCCUGUAAUCCCAGCACUGUGGGAGGCCGAAGCAGGUGGAUCACUUGAGGUCAGCAGUUCAAGACCACCCUGGCCAACAUGGUGAAACCCUGCCUCUACUAAAAAUACAGAAAUUAGCCAAGUGCAAUGGCAGGCACCUGUAAUCCCAGCUACUCGGGAAGCUGAGGAUGGAGAAUCACUUGAACCCUGGAGGCAGAGGUUGCAGUGAACUGAGAUCACACCACAGCACUCCAGUCUGGGUGACUCAGUCUUGAAAAAUGAAAUGAAAUAAAAUAAAAUAAAAGAUAGAGCUGGAGUUUUGCUGGUUACUAUUAUUUAAUCAGAGGACAUAUCACCCUCCUCACAAAGGUGAGAAUCACACAGUCCCAGGAGGUUGUUUGGGCACCAGCUACAGGCCCACAGUCACCGUCAGCAAAAUCAAAUGUGUGUGUUACACACAGACGUCUCAUCUCCAUGGGCUUAUAGACACCAGGCUAGGCAACUAAAAGGGAAAAGUAUUUUUUAUUUUUAUUUUGUUUCUUCCAAGUUAAAGCAUGCUUUUCCUGUUUAUAAAACUUCUGUUUUUGGAAACACUUCUCACUGUACUUUACCAUGAGCAAGGUAAGAUAAGUUUUAUAAGUAGGAAAGCAUGCUUUUAUUUUUGUUUUUAUUUUAUACAAGUAAAGAAGAAAAUAAAAGCAAAACAAAAAUUUAUCUCUCUCAAGUGUCUACUCUCAAUGUUUUGUGCUUGCCACACCCCAUAGUCUAUACACAUACAUACUUACAAAGAGGAUUGUUCACCUGUGGGCUUGUUUAACAUACAUUUAUUUUAUAAUGUAUCAUAUAUAUCUUUUCAUAAUUUUUAAAAAAUUAUCUCUUCACUAUAAUGACUACAUAUGUUUGCAUUCUGGGGUGUUAAUUUAAUUUAAUUAGCAAAUCAUUUAUCAAUGCAUAUUUACUGUGACUAUGAUUGUUUAUAUUUUAACUAAUGUUGUGAUGACAUUCUUGUGUAUAUUUUGUUGCAAUACAUUUCCCAAAGGACAAUUUUUCAGCCUUAGGUUUUUCACAUUUCAUAUCUCUGAGACUGUGCUCCAUAAAGCUAUAUGGAUUUGGAUCCCCGUUAGAGACGUGUCUACACUCAUUUCUGAUAAAUGCACACAGGUAUCUCCAGGACUUAUGCCCUGCCCAGAAUACACUGGUUUUCUAUAAAUACUGUUGAAUGAAUAAAUGUAUCUUUAACAUUACCAUGGUGUUUUUUAACCUCUGUCAACAUGAGAAGCAAAACCUACCUCCUUGUUUUAAUUUACAUUUGUUUAAUUGCCUGUGAGGCCCAACAUCUUUUCAUAAAUGCCUGGCUAAUUUGUGUAUUUAUUUUUCCUCUUGUGAACUGCCUACUCAUUUUCUUUUGAUGUUAUUGAUGUGUAGGAUUCUCCUUGUUGACUUGUAAGAAUAAUUUAGAAACUAGUGAGUAAAUCUUUGUUUUGUGUGUCAAUUUUUUUUCAAUUAUUUGCUUGUCUUUUAUUGUUUGGUUGCUUUUACCUUAGGUAAAAAGGUAAGUGUUAUGUCUUUCUCCAGGUUUAAUUUAUUUAUUUUUUUGGAGGAGGGAUAUUCUGGGUCUUUACUACAUAACCCACCUCUACUCCAAAAGCAUAAUUUUUCACUAUUUUUAUAAACAUUAAUAUAUGUCCCAAACAUAAUUUUUGUCCUCAUUUUUUUAGAACACAGAACAACACACAGUUUUAGAACAUAAAGCAUAAAAUUUUUGAGUGUAUUAGUCUGUUCUCAUGCUGCUUAUAAAGACAUACCCAAGACUGGGUAAUUUAUAAAGAAAAGAGGUUUAAUGGACUCACAGUUCCACAUGGCUGGGGGAGCCUCACAAUCAUGGCAGAAGACGAAUGCGGAGCAGAGUCACAUCUUACAUGGCUGCAGGCAAUAGAGAUUGUGUAGGGGAACUGCCCUUUAUAAAACCAUCAGAUCUCGUGAGACUUAUUCACUAUCAAGAGAACAGCAGGGAAAAGACCUGCCCCAUGAUUCAAUUACCUCCCACUGGGUCCCUCCCACAACAUGUGGGGAUUAUGGGAGCUACAAUUCAAGAUGAAGUUUUGGGGGGGACACAGCCAGACCACAUCAAAGGGUCUUCAUUUGAAUUGUUUUCCACAUGAGGAUGAGAAGAUUUCUAUUUUUUUAAUUUAAAUACUAGUCAGCUGAGUAUUUUUUACUCAGUAUCAUUUACUGAAAACCUAACUUUUCCCCAGAGUUGAAAGGACAUCUCUGUUAAAUAUGAGAUUUGCAUAUAAAACUGGAUAAAGCUUAAACUCUGAAUUCUCUUCUUCUUAUCCCCCCAUCUAUUGCUAGGCCUGUAACAUACCCUACCAUUUGAAUUAUUUACCUUUCAAGUGCAUUUUAUGUUUUCUUAAUUUAUAUGGUCCUCUUUAUGCUUCCUUGCAUAAUUCCCACUCCCAUUUUUGUAUAUUUAUUUUCUGGAUAAGCUUUAGAAUAAUUGCUGUUGUGUUUUAAAAUAUUGGUGGAACUUUAUUAAGAUGCUAUUGAAUAUAUGAAUUAAAUUGGGAAGACUUGUCAUCUUAAUGAAAUAGAAUCUUCCCAUCUAAGAAGCAGGUAUGAUUUUCAAUAUUUCAUCAUAUGUUUAUACAUACAACAUGGCUUUUAAAUUUCAUUUCAGGAAAGUAUAGAAAUAUGGGCUGACUUGCUAUCAUUUUUUUUUUUUUUGAGAUGGAGUUUCAUUCUUGUUGCCCAAGCUGGAGUGUAAUGGCGUGAUCUUGGCUCACUGCAACCUCGGCCUCCCAGGUUCAAGCAAUUCUCCUGCUUCAGCCUUCUGAGUAGCUAGGAUUACAGGCAUGCGCCACCACAGAUGACUAAUUUUGUAUUUUUAGUAGAGACAGGGUUUCUCCAUGUUGGUCAGGCUGGUCUCGAACUCCCAACCUCAGGUGAUCCACCCGCCUUGGCCUCCCAAAAUGCUGGGAUUAUAGCCAUGAGCCACCGCGCCCGGCCCAAGAGUUGCUAUCUUAAUGAAAUAUAACCUUCCCAUCUAAGAAGCAGAGUUUUGCUCGGUCACUCACGGCAACCUCCGCCUCCUGGGUUCAAGCAGUUCUCCUGCCUCAGUCUCCCGAGUAGCUGGGACUCUACAGGCAUCCCCCAUCAGGUAAUGGCAGCCCUGCCCUGCCACAGCGGCCUGAUGCAGUACAGGAACCUGUCUCUCCUCUAUGUCGGUGGAUUAAAAUGAACCAGACAGCACCAAAUCCUGGGAAAUGGUAGAAGCCAACUCCAGCAAUUGUGGUUAAUGCUGGUGCAGGACAGGCUUUCAUGACCAUCAAAACUACUGCCACCACCAAAAUUCAGUGGAUGCCUGCGUGAGUUGGGGUGAAAUGGCAUCUUGAACCUUUCAAAUGACAUUCAUCCCAGAUGUCAUCUCAAGGAUAUGGACUUCUCUUCCAGCCUGUUCUACAUCCGUGGAAAUCAUGUCCUCUCCUGGGUAACUAUGUCCAUGAUCUGUGUUUUAUGAAUAUGGCCACAUUCAACCUCUUUUGGCCCCUGAGCAUGUGCUGGCUUGUGGAUUGUUUUUGUUGUUUAUUUCAUCAGCACAUGGAGCAUACAGAGUUAGUAUAUAUUAUUUAACAGAAAAACACAUUAUCUGGUCCAAAGGAAGGUGAUAUGUUAUCUCUUAUAUGAGGGUAGACUCCUCCAUUCGUGAUCUAAAGUUUCUUUGGAAGGAAAGGAGAUUGUGAUUUAUAAGUAGACUUUAUCAUGGAAAGAAAAUAUAUACAAUUAAACUUUUUACAAUCAUGAAUGAAAUAAAAACUGUGAAAAUAAAUUUAUACUGGAAGUCAUGAACAAGUGCAAAUAUGAGGGAUUGCAGGGGCUUUGAAAAAUAUAAAGAUGGACAAGAGAAGUUUCUUUACACAAUGGUUAGCAAAUUUAUAGAACUUAGCAUAUUUAUAGAGCCUCACGAGUGUCAUUAAACUACAUUAUGCAAGUAGGUUUAAGUAGACUGUAUAAUAGUGUCAAGGAUGGAGAACUAUAAUAACUGUUAAGAAUGGCCACAGAUGUUUUAAGCAAUGGCAAAGUCAGGGAAUAUAAUUUUUAAGACAGUGGAAGGUAAUUACACUAAGUGCCAAUGGCAGAUGAGAUUCUUUGUGUUAAGUAUUGCAAGUUGGAUCCCAAAGCACGUUUAAUAUUUUCACAAGGAGAUUUUCACAAGGAGAGUAUGCUCUCCUUUCAGAUGUAUUACAGAAUCAUAACUUGAAAUGUAAUGAUAGAUUUGUGUGCUCAGAGAAUGCUGGGUUAUGCUUAGAAAAAAGUGAAAAGGCAUUGUUGUAAAAAGCCUUCUAAGAAAUAAUAUUUAUGAAACUGAAGAAGGCAUCAUGUGUAAGUUUUAUAGUUUUAAGCUAACAUUUAUGUCUGAUGAUUCAUUAUGAAUUAAAUUUUGCAUAUGGUAUUGAUGUAUAAUUUUUAUUUUUUGUUUUGUUUUCAUUUCCUUGCACAUGAAAACCUGUUUGUCCCAGCACCAUUUGUUGAAAGAUUAUCUUUACUCUGUUGAUUUACCUUUGCACUUUCGUGAAAACUCAGUUGUCAUAUGUGAGGAUUUGUUUUUGCUCUGUAUUUUUUACUAUUGAUCUGUCUAUGUUUAUGUCAAUACCAC
rnacentral:lncRNA from 1 species